GAGGGAGGAGAAGCCUGACUUCUUGGAGUUCCCUCCCUGGCUGGUGGCAGAUCAGUUGACACUGAUGGAUGUGGAGGAACUGCAAAAAAUUUAAAACCUUGUGCAGAAUGGACCAGCGGGAGAGGAGGAAACUGCUCACGGAGGGAAAUCUGGUGAACCCCAGAAAUGGCGUGAGAAAUGCAAAGUCAUCAGGAGGAUCCAGCUGCUCCAGCAGGCUGCAAAUAAGUAUGACCUGGAGCCCGAAGAGUGAUUUGGGGCCUGGUUCCAGGCCAUGGAG